rnacentral:rRNA from 1 species
CGGACGGGUGAGUAACGCGUGGGUAACCUACCCUGUACACACGGAUAACAUACCGAAAGGUAUGCUAAUACGGGAUAAUAUAUUUGAGAGGCAUCUCUUGAAUAUCAAAGGUGAGCCAGUACAGGAUGGACCCGCGUCUGAUUAGCUAGUUGGUAAGGUAACGGCUCACCAAGGCGACGAUCAGUAGCCGACCUGAGAGGGUGAUCGGCCACAUUGGAACUGAGACACGGUCCAA